AUUGAACGCUGGCGGCAUGCCUUACACAUGCAAGUCGAACGAUCCUUCGGGAUAGUGGCGGACGGGUGAGUAACACGUGGGAACGUGCCUUUUGGUUAGGAACAACUCAGGGAAACUUGAGCUAAUACCGGAUGUGCCCUUCGGGGGAAAGAUUUAUCGCCAUUAGAGCGGCCCGCGUCUGAUUAGCUAGUUGGUGGGGUAAAGGCCUACCAAGGCGGCGAUCAGUAGCUGGUCUGAGAGGAUGAUCAGCCACAUUGGGACUGAGACACGGCCCAAACUCCUACGGGAGGCAGCAGUGGGGAAUCCUGCGCAAUGGGCGAAAGCCUGACGCAGCCAUGCCGCGUGAAUGAUGAAGGUCUUAGGAUUGUAAAAUUCUUUCACCGGGGACGAUAAUGACGGUACCCGGAGAAGAAGCCCCGGCUAACUUCGUGCCAGCCGCCGCAGUAA
rnacentral:rRNA from 1 species